rnacentral:rRNA from 1 species
GCUUGCGGCCAUACCACCCUGAACAUGCCCGAUCUCAUCUGAUCUUGACUGCUUAGCAGGGUCAGGCCUGAAUAGGACUUGGAUGGGAGACCACCUGGGAAUACCAGGUGCUGUAAGCU